CUUCAACGAGCCGAGCCACAGGGGCUGUUCCGCGGAGCGGUCCUUGCCGUACGUGGCGAUGAGCGCCUGGGCCUC
rnacentral:antisense_RNA from 1 species